rnacentral:rRNA from 1 species
GAUGAACGCUGGCGGCGUGCCUAAUACAUGCAAGUCGAGCGAACAGAUGAGGAGCUUGCUCCUCUGACGUUAGCGGCGGACGGGUGAGUAACACGUGGAUAACCUACCUAUAAGACUGGGAUAACUUCGGGAAACCGGAGCUAAUACCGGAUAAUAUAUUGAACCGCAUGGUUCAAUAGUGAAAGACGGUUUUGCUGUCACUUAUAGAUGGAUCCGCGCCGCAUUAGCUAGUUGGUAAGGUAACGGCUUACCAAGGCAACGAUGCGUAGCCGACCUGAGAGGGUGAUCGGCCACACUGGAACUGAGACACGGUCCAGACUCCUACGGGAGGAAGCAGUAGGGAAUCUUCCGCAAUGGGCGAAAGCCUGACGGAGCAACGCCGCGUGAGUGAUGAAGGUCUUCGGAUCGUAAAACUCUGUUAUUAGGGAAGAACAAAUGUGUAAGUAACUAUGCACGUCUUGACGGUACCUAAUCAGAAAGCCACGGCUAACUUCGU